rnacentral:tRNA from 1 species
GGCUGUGUAGCUCUGGGGUAGAGCAUGUGCUCAACAUGCAUAAAGCCCUGGGUUCAAUCCCCAGAACCA